rnacentral:rRNA from 1 species
UACGUAGGAUGCAAGCGUUGUCCGGAAUUAUUGGGCGUAAAGAGCGCGCAGGCGGUAUGACAAGUCAGAUGUGAAAGAGGCCGGCUUAACCGGCAAGGGUCAUUUAAAACUGUCAGACUAGAGUGCAGCAGAGGAUAGUGGAAUUCCCGGUGUAGUGGUGAAAUGCGUAGAUAUCGGGAGGAACACCAGUGGCGAAGGCGACUAUCUGGGCUGCAACUGACGCUGAGGCGCGAAGGCCAGGGUAGCAAACAGG